AACACGGCAAAAGCGACUGUUGCGCAGGUCCCGGCGCAGCAAGCGUUUCGAAGUGCCCGUAGUACACUGUCAAGUAAUGACCCACAAAGCGGUGGCAUUAUCAAGGGCUGUAUAAAACGUGGCAGAUAGGAAACGGCUAGGCACAACGGACAGGCUCUUAGCGCUAACGUUAGCAGCAGAGACGACGUCGUCGGACGGCGAGUUUAUAUGAUAGAGGUCGGGUUUGCAAGCGCAGCCAACUUUUUAAAAGCCAUAAACACACCAGACGGCGAAUCAAACACUUUUUUUUUCCCCUCUCGUCCGCAGUCGUAGUAAAUGCCGCUACCGACUGCAAUCUCGGGCGUACAAAAAUACGUGUUAUUUUUUACAGGCGUCGGAGGGGCUUACAGUGACAGGAAAUGAAACGGCCUUGACAGCCUCCCUACGGAUUUGAAUUUCGAGCACCGUACGCUAUCGUCACGACUAUUAAUGCGGAAAGCUUUUUUUUUUUUUUUUAAUGUUUUCUUCGGCGUAUUGCUUAGCACAUGGUCCUUAAGACGCCGACAUGUGCGGACUGGCUCGAGCCAGUCAUAACAUCAACAGAGCCGCAGAAAACAAUCGCAUUUAGCGGCUGAGUCGUCAAAAUGGCGUCGUCCGUCCGUCGAUUAAAAUGGGCCUACGAGCUACGGAGAUGCUCUCGAACGACGCACAGAGAAGCAGCAGCAGCCACCACCAUUUGUCGAGAACAACAAAACGAAAGUCACCGUAUCGAACAGCGGCAACAUACUGAGAAACAGGAACCGGUAAUCAGCUGCGAGCAACGGUACAACGGACGGGAAAAGAAGCAGAAGACGCAAUAGAACUCGUCUGGUAACAAACGGCACUUUGCAGACGACAGCGGGAGGAGAGAACACAUGCAGCGCUGCAAACAGGGGUAGUAGUACAACACACACAAGGGGCAGCAGCAACAGCCCAGCAAAAGAAAAAAAGAAAAAAAACCAACAGAGCGUGCACUGCGCGCGCGACAUCGUUUUCCUCCCGGCACGAGCAAAGCAAAACAAUCAAGACAACAAAAAACAACGGAGCUAUCAACAAAUGCCGCCGCUGCAGACGGGCUUCUCGUUUUUUCCUCAAGCAUACCUGCCGACAACGCGCGCCUAGAUCGCUAGGACACGGAAGCGAGCGGCGUACUACACACGAAAAACGGAACGACGCGAAGACAGCAAACGAAAAAAGAAAGAAGGAAGCCAUUUAAAGCAGUAGCCGCAUCAUUGGGCGCUUCCUUCCGACAGAGCCGCUCGCUACUUCCUACAGACACGGUGGGUCUCGGUUCGGUGUCGAGCGUCGCCCCAUAAAGAAUUCACGAGAAGAUUCACACGGUGACGAAACAAGAGCAGCACCGCACAACGAAUAUAAAAGAAACCGCCCCGUUUCUGACGAGGGCCGGAUCAAAACACAGCAAGGGCACACACUACGCAGCCGGUCUUCCCGCAAACAAGAUCGCAUCGCUGGGAUUCUUUCAGCGUCGAUAAUCGCUGAAAGGAGUGUGUAGGCAGCGUGCAAUAAGACGCCGCUGACGAGGUCUAGGGCAGCGCUCGAAUGAAAUGCGCAAGAUCGUCGAGACAGCCGCGUAGUACGCGGGCAGGGCCGCCCCCGUAACCACGCAGCACGUUUAAAGGGUUAAAACGGAAGGCUCUCCGUAAAACGUAAAAAAAAGAAAAAGAGGCGCAUCAAGAACUGGAGCAAGCGCGGACGCAACAACGCUAACCUUGGAAACUGCUAGCGACCGAGAGCUGACGGGGAGAUUCUUCCGUCGACGGAGAGAGACAGCGCAUCCGAACGAACGCUGCCCGACACCAUCGCGUUUUUCGUAGUACGUCCGGACAUUUCAGCCUCUGGAUGCGAGUUGAAUGAAGAUAUGUACAAGUUCCUGUUGAUCGCCAACUGCGAACAGCGACUGCGUUACGCCUACUACUUCUACCCGGUUGACAAAGCGAAAAGGCCUUCGUUGGAAGCCGCACUGAUACAGAAAUGUAUUUCCAGAAAUCAAAACAGCUGCUCAUUUUUCCUGCACGAUGGCUUCAACAUCGUGUACCGCAGGACGGGGCAGCUCAUUUUCAUCAUAGGCACAGAUGACGAUGAGAACAACCUUGCCGUGUACGAGUUUGUGCGCGCUUUUGUCCAAGUCCUGGAUGCCUACUUCUCGGGAGUGGUAAG